rnacentral:lncRNA from 1 species
CAACUUUGCUAUCUUAGAACGGAUCACCAGUGAAAGAGGGGAAGUUGCUACUGUGAUGAAUUCUGCCAUGUGGUACCAGACUGCUGCCCAGACCACAGUGUCCUCUGCAACCCUGGUAACUCACAUACAGGCCUGAUUCCACCUACAGCAAAGCUGGAUGCUAUGGUUGGCAGAGGCAAGCCCCUUGCCUGCACUUCAGGCCAAAGCCGGGAUGUGGCCUAGAUGGUUCCUAAGCUUCUCAGAUGACCAAGAUGGUGCUGCCGAUGGUGUUGAGGACGGAGAACCCACCAAGCCCCGUUAGGAGCCACCUAGACUGGAUGCAGAGCACAUUUUAUUUGCUUCCAAGAAGGAAGGCAAGAUUUCCUGGGUCCGUGAUGAUGGAAGGCUGACAACUCUUUUAUGGAUUUUGAGCUUGCUCCCAGUAGGGAAGACAAGUUCAAGUUUUUUUCCUGCUUCAAGGAUGGUGGAGAGCAGUCUUCAGCCUGAGACCCAUCCCUAGGUGAAAAUGGAGGUUCCCUCCUCCUGAGGCUGAGUGUGGCUUCCCUGGAAGACCUCACUGACCCCAGAGUGGCAGAAAGGCUGAUGCAGCAGCUCCACCAGGAACUCCACGCCCAUGCGCCUCACUUCCAGGUCUCCUUACUGCACGUCAGGAGAGGCUAACAGACAUCAGCUGCAGCCAGGCAUGUCCCGUACGCCCAAAGA